AGUGAACGCUGGCGGUAGGCCUAACACAUGCAAGUCGAACGGCAGCACAGUAAGAGCUUGCUCUUACGGGUGGCGAGUGGCGGACGGGUGAGGAAUACAUCGGAAUCUACUUUUUCGUGGGGGAUAACGUAGGGAAACUUACGCUAAUACCGCAUACGACCUACGGGUGAAAGCAGGGGAUCUUCGGACCUUGCGCGAUUGAAUGAGCCGAUGUCGGAUUAGCUAGUUGGCGGGGUAAAGGCCCACCAAGGCGACGAUCUGUAGCUGGUCUGAGAGGAUGAUCAGCCACACUGGAACUGAGACACGGUCCAGACUCCUACGGGAGGCAGCAGUGGGGAAUAUUGGACAAUGGGCGCAAGCCUGAUCCAGCCAUACCGCGUGGGUGAAGAAGGCCUUCAGGUUGUAAAGCCCUUUUGUUGGGAAAGAAAAGCAGCAGGUUAAUACCCCGCUGUUCUGACGGUACCCAAAGAAUAAGCACCGGCUAACUUCGUG
rnacentral:rRNA from 1 species